CCUACGGGGGGCAGCAGUGGGGAAUAUUGGGCAAUGGGCGCAAGCCUGACCCAGCAACGCCGCGUGAAGGAAGAAGGCUUUCGGGUUGUAAACUUCUUUUUAGAGGGAAGAGUAGAAGACGGUACCUGUCGAAUAAGCCACGGCUAACUACGUGCCAGCAGCCGCGGUAAUACGUAGGUGGCAAGCGUUGUCCGGAUUUACUGGGUGUAACGGGCGUGUAGCCGGGUUGACAAGUCAGAUGUGAAAUUCCGGGGCUCAACCGCGGAACUGCAUUUGAAACUGUUGGUCUUGAGUAUCGGAGAGGCAGGCGGAAUUCCUAGUGUAGCGGUGAAAUGCGUAGAUAUUAGGAGGAACACCAGUGGCGAAGGCGGCCUGCUGGACGACAACUGACGGUGAGGCGCGAAAGCGUGGGGAGCAAACAGGAUUAGAUACCCGAGUAGUC
rnacentral:rRNA from 1 species